rnacentral:rRNA from 1 species
UAGAGUUUGAUCCUGGCUCAGGACGAACGCUGGCGGCGUGCCUAAUACAUGCAAGUCGAGCGGACAGAUGGGAGCUUGCUCCCUGAUGUUAGCGGCGGACGGGUGAGUAACACGUGGGUAACCUGCCUGUAAGACUGGGAUAACUCCGGGAAACCGGGGCUAAUACCGGAUGGUUGUUUGAACCGCAUGGUUCAAACAUAAAAGGUGGCUUCGGCUACCACUUACAGAUGGACCCGCGGCGCAUUAGCUAGUUGGUGAGGUAAUGGCUCACCAAGGCAACGAUGCGUAGCCGACCUGAGAGGGUGAUCGGCCACACUGGGACUGAGACACGGCCCAGACUCCUACGGGAGGCAGCAGUAGGGAAUCUUCCGCAAUGGACGAAAGUCUGACGGAGCAACGCCGCGUGAGUGAUGAAGGUUUUCGGAUCGUAAAGCUCUGUUGUUAGGGAAGAACAAGUACCGUUCGAAUAGGGCGGUACCUUGACGGUACCUAACCAGAAAGCCACGGCUAACUACGUGCCAGCAGCCGCGGUAAUACGUAGGUGGCAAGCGUUGUCCGGAAUUAUUGGGCGUAAAGGGCUCGCAGGCGGUUUCUUAAGUCUGAUGUGAAAGCCCCCGGCUCAACCGGGGAGGGUCAUUGGAAACUGGGGAACUUGAGUGCAGAAGAGGAGAGUGGAAUUCCACGUGUAGCGGUGAAAUGCGUAGAGAUGUGGAGGAACACCAGUGGCGAAGGCGACUCUCUGGUCUGUAACUGACGCUGAGGAGCGAAAGCGUGGGGAGCGAACAGGAUUAGAUACCCUGGUAGUCCACGCCGUAAACGAUGAGUGCUAAGUGUUAGGGG